CCGUCAUACUGUGUUCAGCCCAUGUGCCGUGCAGUGGACAUGUGCGUGAGCCAGAUGGAGGAUGAUUGCUGUGUUUGAACAUCACAAGAAUGCUGAAGCUCAAACAGUGACGAAUGUGCUGUUGACACACACACACACACACACCAGUGUGCCACGAGAAGAAAUGAGUCUGAGCAAGGAGCUCAGAGCAGAGUGCUGCCAUCUACCCCAAGCCGUGUUUGGAAAUGUAUGUAAAAAUGUGCUCUUGAGAAGACGCCAGCAAGAUGUUGCAGCAGCAGCUUGAGCAGAUACUGAUGAGCUGAUUUGAGAGGAGUUUAUUAUCUGCAGGUGAUCAGCAGACUCUGCAUAACAGCUGAUGGAGAUUGGAUCUGUGGAAAUGUCCUUUCCUCCCCCACAUGAUGAACACAUUUUCUCUAUAUUUAUAGCAAAAUUAUAAACACUUAUGCUGUCAGAUUUGCUGUUUUCUGAUAUGGUUUAUUCAAACAAUGUGAAUCGUUCUGUGCAUGUAGAGUUUUAAACUGCUGUCAUGUUGUCUUCAAUAAAAUUGAAUUUGACUCCA